UUGAUUACGUCCCUGCCCUUUGUACACACCGCCCGUCGCUGCCCGGGACUGAGCCAUUUCGAGAAAUUUGGGGACCGUUGAUUUAAUUUAUCUAAAUUAUUUUGAUGGAAACCAAUUUAAUCGCAGUGGCUUGAACCGGGCAAAAGUCGUAACAAGGUAGCUGUAGGUGAACCUGCUGCUGGAUCAUUACUUUAUGUGAUGUUCAAUUUUGAAUCGCAAUGAAAUAAUUGUUGUGUAACGGCUGUCGCUGGUGUCUAGGUGUUGCUGAUACAGUUGUGAACGUCCGUGGCUGUAUAUGUGGUGACAUGUUAGGACUAUAAUGAGUUUAAGACUUAAUGAGCCUCUUAAGUGAGGACGCCAGCACUCUUUUUUUAUAUUUAAAAAAAAACAAAAUUCCUAGCCUUUCCGGUGGAUCACUAGGCUCGUGGAUCGAUGAAGAACGCAGCAAACUGCGAUAAGUUUUGCGAACUGCAGCAGCCUUGAGCAUAAAAGUUUUGAACGCAUAUUGCCGCAUAGGGGUCAAACCCUUUGCUAUGUCUGGUUCAGGGUCAUUAUCUUUCAAAGCGAAAGCUUUAUUGUAUAAUUGCUUUUGUGGCUUCUUUAUGUUUUAAAUUGAUUGUUAGAUAUGUUUAAUUGUUCGCAUGUAUCAUCAACAAUAUUGAUUUUUUGACCUGAACUCAGUCGAGAGCACCCGCUGAACUUAAGCAUAUCAGUAAGCGGAGGAAAAGAAACUAAACAGGAUUCCCUUAGUAACGGCGAGUGAAA
rnacentral:rRNA from 1 species